CUCAGUAAAUCCAUCCCCACCAAUAUGGAAGUUCGUCUUCAUUUACUACUGCAUAACCCUGUUUACCGCAUGUGUACUUUUCGUAACUCACUUUUCGUUGCUAAGGAAGGAAACGAUAAGGUUACUGAAUUCAGGAAUUCAAGUUGAACAAACUGUCAAUUUGAAAGGCCAAGACAGCGUUAAUACUUUUUACCUGUGUUUCAUCGCACAAUGCAUAAUCGGGGUCUGCAUUUUACCGAUCAUCGGUUUCGCGUUUGGCUUAAUUCGACCCUGCAUGCCGCCCGCUCUAACCAGUUCGAUGGGUCAGGAAUGCAAAUCGUGGGAUCAUGUUGGACAAAUUGGAAUCGUGUUCCAGACUUGUUUAUCAAUUUUGCUAGGGUACAUAGCCGGCCAACUUGCUGCCAACGUUGUUUUCGCCGUUGGCAUCGUACUAGUGUACCCCACCGUCAUCAAGCUAAUAAUCCUGGAUUCAAUUGCCAGAAAUUUUAACCGUGCAUGGCAAAAUGGAUUCGCGUACCUGAGGACAUUUCGGACUUUGCAAAUUCUAUCAAUCAUGCACAACGCCGUAUUGAGUCAGCCGAUUAUGCCCGUCUUUGUCGGAGGCGUAACUGUGUGUCUAAGUUUUGCUCUGUACAUACUAAUAGUUCCAACAUCUGAAGUUCCUCUGCCUGUUUUUCUACUCUUCUGUCAGGUCACCCUUCACAUGUUCGUCAUAAUUGUGGGACCCUUCAAAAUGAUGGCUUGCCCAUUGGUUAAGUCCAUCGAGGUACUAAAAUCGUUAGAAAGGAUAAAAGGGACGAGUUUGGUGAGAAAAUUCGUUAGGUCUUGCCCGCCAUGUAAGAUGAGCUUGGGUGAUGGCACCUUCUUCGAUAUGGCGACAUCUCUUGUAAUUCUACGUAAGAGCGUGGACUUAUUGAUUUAUUUCUUAUUGACGUAAUUGUAUGUAGUAAUUAUUGUUAUCCUGGUUAAUAUUACGUGUAAUUCAGAAUUAAAUGAUUUACGCUAGAAAAUAGUCUGAUAAAUGAAAAUGAAGUUUGGUAGCCUGUUUAAUGAUUUAAGUGGAAACAAAAAUUGUGGGUACCAGUAGUGUGUUUUCGCCGAAAAAGUAGUUAAUUGGAUUCAAUAAAUUAGACUUAAAUUACCCGAAAGUUACUAAGCGGUGAGUUAAGAAAUUCACAGAUAAGACACAGCUAUAUGUAUGUAUAUAUGGUCGAAGCAGUAAAAUUGUAGACAUUUCUAUAUGUAUUUCUUAUGUAAAAAUUUCUUUGAUUAUAGUUCCUCGACUAUAGUCAUGCUUACAUCAACUAAGGCUAAGCUCCUUUCUUUGAGAUAAAUUAGUUCGAUAAAAUCGCACAAUUAUGUUCAUUUUGAAAUCGUUCGCCAAAGCCAGAGCACAUUUACUUUUUACAUGGUAAAGAUUGUUUUUACGAGUGUCUCAAGUCACGACACAAAGUUUCCUCUGCAGAUUCGUCUGGUACAUAUGUAAAUGUUUUCAGCUUAUUCGCUCCUUCUUUCUCAUUGAUUACAUGCACCCGUAAUCACGUUCACUAAUCCUUAGCUUAAUCAUCCAAAUCAAGAAUUGUUAUAUGUUAAUACAAAAUCUUUAAGUGUGAGAAACUGGAGCCGUGCAGACUGGCGUGUUUAACUGUAUCAUAUGCAGAGGUGGGCAAGAUCAUUAUCUCAGAUAGCAGAUCAAGAUAUUAUCUUGAUAUUUGAUCUUCGGCUAGAGCUUUUUGAUCCUGAUCUUGAUCUUGAUCUAGCUCGGUAAGAUCUUCUAUCUUGAUCUUGAUCUUCAAGUUCAAGAUCAAAAUCCCAAAUAUAAAAAGUAGCAUUUUGAGACAUUGAUAAUUUUUGAAAAAUAACUCCUUAGUCCAUUACUGAGAUACCAAAGUACAUUCAAUUAAAAAAACACGCCUACGAGAUUUAAUUUUUUUUACUGAUUAAUGGAACCAGUUCUUCAAACGUCGAUCUAUUUCCAAAAUGUGAGUAUUUUUAACCCCUAGACAAUUUGGGUCAAUUUUUGACGACCUGAUGCUUCAACUAUAGCUUAAUUUACCAAGAAAUAAAGUAUAAGGGCAACUUAAAACAUCACGGCAAACGUUUUGUUAAAUAUUAUAUACCUAUACGAAAUUUUAACGACGUUGAUGCUGUCAGCUUUGAAUAACUAAAGUUGGUUAGAAACCAAUUUUGGUUACUUAUCUAGUAUUUGUAGCGUGCACAGUGCACACUAUGUGCAUUACACAUAGUUGUAUUUAUCGGUUUAUAUAUAACAAGCUAGAAUUUAGAUAGCAUAGCUAGAAUUUUUUUGAUCUUAUGAUCUUCAUCUUGAUCUGACAUUU